rnacentral:rRNA from 1 species
GGACAUUACGGGGGCUACCAUGCAAGUCGAACGAUGAUGCCCAGCUUGCUGGGCGGAUUAGUGGCGAACGGGUGAGUAAUACGUGAGUAACCUGCCCUUGACUCUGGGAUAAGCCUGGGAAACUGGGUCUAAUACUGGAUACUACUGCUCAUCGCAUGGUGGGUGGUGGAAAGGGUUUUACUGGUUUUGGAUGGGCUCACGGCCUAUCAGCUUGUUGGUGGGGUAAUGGCUCACCAAGGCGACGACGGGUAGCCGGCCUGAGAGGGUGACCGGCCACACUGGGACUGAGACACGGCCCAGACUCCUACGGGAGGCAGCAGUGGGGAAUAUUGCACAAUGGGCGGAAGCCUGAUGCAGCGACGCCGCGUGAGGGAUGACGGCCUUCGGGUUGUAAACCUCUUUCAGUAGGGAAGAAGCGAAAGUGACGGUACCUGCAGAAGAAGCGCCGGCUAACUACGUGCCAGCAGCCGCGGUAAUACGUAGGGCGCAAGCGUUGUCCGGAAUUAUUGGGCGUAAAGAGCUCGUAGGCGGUUUGUCGCGUCUGCUGUGAAAGCCCGGGGCUCAACCCCGGGUCUGCAGUGGGUACGGGCAGACUAGAGUGCAGUAGGGGAGACUGGAAUUCCUGGUGUAGCGGUGAAAUGCGCAGAUAUCAGGAGGAACACCGAUGGCGAAGGCAGGUCUCUGGGCUGUUACUGACGCUGAGGAGCGAAAGCAUGGGGAGCGAACAGGAUUAGAUACCCUGGUAGUCCAUGCCGUAAACGUUGGGCACUAGGUGUGGGGGACAUUCCACGUUUUCCGCGCCGUAGCUAACGCAUUAAGUGCCCCGCCUGGGGAGUACGGCCGCAAGGCUAAAACUCAAAGGAAUUGACGGGGGCCCGCACAAGCGGCGGAGCAUGCGGAUUAAUUCGAUGCAACGCGAAGAACCUUACCAAGGCUUGACAUUCACCGGGACCGCCCCAGAGAUGGGGUUUCCCUUCGGGGCUGGUGGGACAGGUGGUGCAUGGUUGUCGUCAGCUCGUGUCGUGAGAUGUUGGGUUUAAGUCCCGCAACGAGCGCAACCCUCGUUCUAUGUUGCCAGCACGUGAUGGUGGGGACUCAUAGAGACUGCGGGGUCAACUCGGAGGAAGGUGGGGAUGACGGUCAAAUUCAUUCAUGGCCCUAUGUCCUGGCAUCACGCAUGCUUACCAUUGACCGGUACCAAAAGGGGCUUGGCGCAU